AUUGAACGCUGGCGGCAGGCUUAACACAUGCAAGUCGAGCGGAGAUGAGGUGCUUGCACCUUAUCUUAGCGGCAGACGGGUGAGUAAUGCUUAGGAAUCUGCCUAUUAGUGGGGGACAACAUUCCGAAAGGAAUGCUAAUACCGCAUACGUCCUACGGGAGAAAGCAGGGGAUCUUCGGACCUUGCGCUAAUAGAUGAGCCUAAGUCGGAUUAGCUAGUUGGUGGGGUAAAGGCCUACCAAGGCGACGAUCUGUAGCGGGUCUGAGAGGAUGAUCCGCCACACUGGGACUGAGACACGGCCCAGACUCCUACGGGAGGAAGCAGUGGGGAAUAUUGGACAAUGGGGGGAACCCUGAUCCAGCCAUGCCGCGUGUGUGAAGAAGGCCUUAUGGUUGUAAAGCACUUUAAGCGAGGAGGAGGCUACUGAGACUAAUACUCUUGGAUAGUGGACGUUACUCGCAGAAUAAGCACCGGCUAACUCUGUGCCAGCCGCCGCGGUAACAC
rnacentral:rRNA from 1 species